rnacentral:lncRNA from 1 species
AACAAUUAGUGGACCUGGAGCCUCACUGUAAUGUAGCAUCAACCCAAAUAUCCAGUAUUUUAUGACCAUGGCAUUCCCUUUCAGCAACAAAUCUUAUCCACCUUCUCCUCCAAAAUAAUCGUACAGUCCAAUACGAUCAAGCUGCCCUUAGCUUCAACCAAACCAGUUUCGUAGCAAAUAUGCCCUGUAAGAUGUCCCUGUUCUUUCUAUACUUGCCCUGCUACUAUCACUGUCACUACUCUUGUCUCCAACUUUUACCAGAAACCCAAACUUGGGUAAGUGGAAAAGUACUGUUAAGACUGCUUCUCUUUUUAGUUUUCAAUAUUUUCUUUUUUGGGGUUAUUGUAGGAAAGAAAGACGAUGGAGAGAUUCAGAGAAAUCUAAUCGGAGUAAAUCCACCAGGUCAUGGUCAUUCACCAGGUGGCUGUAGCAACUGUUUUCCUCCUUAUGUUGAUGAUGACGAGAAGGAAAAUUUUACUUGGGCAUCCCAGAUCCCAGCGCCAUAGUUAAUGCCUAAAAAGCCUACCAUUCAAGUAUGUAUGUCCUUCUGUUGGGUCUGUACCAUUAAAUCUUAUAUUAUAUGAAAGCAUAUAGAGUUGAGGUCUACUGUUUCUGUUGGAAUAUUAAAUCAAAUUUAAUAUCUUUUCCAUUAAUAAUUUGUUUUAAACAUUAAUUGAUAAACAUAUAUAUAUAUAUAUGUAUUUAUAUCAAAGCAUAUAUGGAGUUGAGGUGAUCUUGAUUAUUGUUGGAAAAUUAAACCAAAUUUGACAUUUUUUCCAUUAAUAAUUAGUUCGUUCGUCUUUCACAUCAUGUUUAAUUUUAAUUUUGCACAAAAUUUAAGAAGUUUUGAAUUAAAAUUAACUUUUGUUGACUAUAAAGUUUUGUUUUCAUAAAUUAAUCUUAUCUUGAAAAAAAUGAAAAAAUUGUUAAGUAUACUUAUAGGUAAUAAGAGAAAGAAUGAUUUUUUUUGACACAAUUAAAAGAGACAAAUAAGACACUAUAUAUGGGCUGUAGGGAGUGGUUUUGAUUAGGGUGGGCAAAAUCACCCGAACCCGUCGGGUUUCGACCCGACCCGACCCCUUAGGGUCGGUUUUUUUUUUUGAAAAUCGGGUAUCGGGUCGGGUCGGUCGGGUAGAGUCAAAAAAAUUUCGGGGUCGGGUCCGGGGUCGGGUUUUAAGCAAACCCCGACCCUACCCGACCCGCAAUAUAUAUAAAAAAUUUAAUUUUUUUAAUUAUUUUUUAAAUUUUUACAAUUUAAUUAUAUAUAUUUUUAUAUAUAUUUAAUUUAUAUUUAUAUUUAAAAUAAUAUUUUAUUAAUUUCGGGUCGGGUCGGUCGGAUUUGAUUUUAUACACUGUCGGGUCGGGUCGGGUUCGGGUAUUAAAAAUAAAAAAAUUUUCGGGUCGGGUACGGGUACGGGUAUUGUAUAUUUAAAAUCGGGUCGGGUUCGGGGCGAGCAAAAACCCGCCCCGACCCGACCCGUUGCCAUCCCUGGUUUUGAUCAUAAAUUUAUGUAUACUCAAACUUGAUAGAGGUUAGCUUCUGAUUGGUCAUUUGAGUUUUUCUGUAAUUGCUGUCAAAUUUUACUCCUUUUAGCAAAUUUUCUUAGAUCUCACCUGUUAAAUUUUGAGAUUUGUUGCUAAGAGGUUUUAAAUUAGAAUCUUGAAAAAGGAAACCAAACUACAUUAGAGGUUAUAAAUAAGACAACGCUACCUCCUAUUAUUAUGAAAUUCAAACCAAUUCUCAUAUGUAGUAUUAAAAAGAGAUAAAGAGAGAGAAUGAAAAUAAUUGCACUCAAAAUUAUAGUUGAACUUGUACACAUUCCAUGAUCCCAUAAGUGAUAUCCUAAUUUGGCUUUUAUUGAUAAAAAUUUUCACCUUUCAUUGCAUUUAAUUUUCAAAUCAACAUUUAAUAUUAUAAAUUUUUUUAAAAAAUACAUUAUAAAGACUUUGAAUAAAAUAUUUUUUAAAUGAGUAUUUGUUAAAAUUUAAUACAUAAAAUAUUUAAAAGUAAUUUGGAUCAAAAUUGAUGAAAUUGAACCAAUAAGUGAAAUUAGGAUAUUAAAGCCUCUUGGUUGGCUAUUGCCCACCUUUCACCUUUCAAGUUUUCACCUAACACAGGGGGCACCCAACCCCACAUCCGCUAAUAUCUUCUUUAUUCUUCGUCUUCACUGUCUUGAAUGUUUCUUCCUUGUUUUGAGGGAGACUGUUACAACCAGAUGAGAGCAUUUCAUAUACAAAUGUUUUUUAAUCUUAUAAUUAAUUAAUUAUAAUAAAAAUUACAUAAAAUCACCAUUUAAUUAUAAAUGUGGGUGCCACAAAAAAAUAUUUUUUAUGGAUCUUUUAUAAUUCCGAACCAUAAUUGAUUAAUCAUAAGUGCUCCCAUAGCCACUAAUGCCUGGGGCUGUGGCUCUGGAAGGGGCAAAAUGGUCAGUGGCUCUUUGCUUUGCUGCAAUUGAGAGCUCCACUGCUGGGUGAAAGCACUCCACCAAUAUCACAGUGAUGAUGUCCAACUGUAAGCGACCAGCAGGAUGGCAUCAAAACACGGUGAAAGUGAGUUGGAAAAAAAUAUAGAAAAGCUAACAACAACAUUUCGUGUAAUCUUGUUUAUUUAUUGACAAUAAUUGUUGACAUCUAUCACUUGCCAACCAUCAGUGGCAUCGUCAUUUGGAAAUUUCCAAAUGUGAACAAGAAAAAAGAAAGCCGCCAACGGGGAAUUGUCAACAUGACAAAGACAAAGAAUGGACAACUAGUGGACCAUGCUCUCUAGCUCUCAUGGAGCACUUAUUGUGUAAUAACCAUUAACAAUUUAGUCAUUCCAUUCAGCCAAAAAUUGACUACCAAAUCAUCUUUCUUCUCCAAAACAAUCACAAUCCAAUCCGAUCGAACUGCCAUGGGCUAGAGCAGAAAAUUUUAUUUUAUUAUAAAAUUUUAAUAUAUUUAAAUAGUUUUAGAUAUAAAAUAAAAAUUUUUAUUUUAUAAAAAUUUUAAAAAUAUAUAGUUCGAUUCGAUUUUUUUUUUUCAUUUAAAAUCUUAUUUGAAUUUAAUAUAUUUACUAUCUAAAUUUAAUCAAAAUUAAAUAAAAAAAUCAAUCCAAAUUAAAUUAAACAUUUCAAUUUUUUCAUUUUUUUUUUCAUACCGCUAAUCAAAUCCCGAUCAAAUGUCCUCCUCCUGCUGCCGAUAGCGAGAAGACAAAAAGUAUUUGGUCAACCAAGGACCAUAACUAGUGGCUAGCCUUGCUGUGUGAGUAAUAAUUUUCUAAAUUUAAGUAGCAGCUAUAGAAGAAAUAAAGAGACAAGUACUGGCAAGGUUUAGGGGAAUUUGAGAAAGAAGAAUUUGUAAGUACUGACGAUUGAAUCUCAUACAUGCUCGAAUCUCUCUUUUAAGUGGAUAGGUAAAUAUUUGAAUUGAAUCCCAAGUUCAACUCUAUCCCUAUAUGUUAUUGUCACCCUUUAAUGAUUUAAAAAAUAAAAAGAAGCUAAUUUUAAUGUUUUUCUUGCAAUGGUGUAAAGCUCUUCGAUCUUAUUCUUUUCUCUCACUUGUCUAACUAAUCCAAUGGUGUAAAAAAUUUCUUUUCCCCUUUUCUGGUCAUCCCCCAAAAAAGGGCAGCUUUACUUUUAAACUUACAAAUUAGUGGGAUUGCAGUGUCAAUGAACUAAUGUUUCCAUCUUAAUUUUUUUACUAUUCUACACCAUAAUUAUAAUUAUGACGAUUCCGAUUAUUUUGGAUGAUGGUUUCUCAAUAGCUUAGAAGUUGCUAGAACGAUGAAAAUUAUAAAGAUUCCUUAUUAUUAUUUUUUUAACAGGAUAACUGAAGAUCAUGUAAAUUGCAUCAAAAGAAUUUUAUAGGAAGUUUAUGAUGCUUUUUUUGCACAUGUUACCGAUAUUAAAAGAUUGAUAAAAUACUGAAUUCGUAAUUUAAUUAUAACAAUCUAAAUAUAAUAUAUAAAUAUAUAUAUAUAUAUAAAUGUAUAGGUGGUAAAUGAUGAUAUAUAUAAUAUAUGUAUCGCUGAAAGACCACUACUUACUGACCUUCAACAAUCGAUUUGCGGAUGAUCUUCCGUAACUUGUGAAUAUUUUACUCCAACAAAUUAAAGGCUGUCAUAAAGUACGAAGCAACUAAUAAUCCUACGUAUUUCAGUACAUUGGAAGUUGUGAUACAGAAACAACAUAAUUUCCAAUUUUAAUAAAAGUUUCAUCUACAAUAAAAAUAAACUAGUUAACAAAAGAGAAAAAUGAUUUCUAAUACUAGAUAUAUAUUUGAUAUAUAUUUGAGUAUUUUAAUAAGUAAAUUAUUUUAUUUGGUUUUUUAUAUGUAGACUGAAAUUAAAAAUCACAAAAUUAAGUGAAUUAAUUCAGAAUAUUCUUAUUAGUUGUGCGGAUAAAGGAUGUAGAGUCUUAAUUGCUUCAUGUAGUUAACAUUCUACAAAUUUAAAAUUUAAAUUUAACACCUGAAUUUUUUUUUUUUUUCAUUUUCAUAUUGUGAUUUUAUAUGUAUAAAAAAAAUUGGAUAGAAUUGUUAGGCUCCGUACUGUUGAUGGAAUGUGUUAAGUGAAGUCUGGUUAUAGAUUAUUAUUGAAGAAAGAGCUCGGUAAAGCUGGCAUUUGUGCUCCAAGUAGCUCUUAUAUUGUGGAUGGUAAUGUAUGGAGAGAGAUAUGGACAAUUAGUGCCCCUAAUUAAUAAGAUAAAGGUGCUUCCUUGGAGAGCUAGCAAUUCUGUUCUUCCCACUAGAUGCAAUUUAUGGAAGAAUAUUGUGUGUUGUUUUUAACAGCCUUGAUGGAACUCAGGAAGAUAAAUAAAGAGCUCAAUAUUGAUCUCGCUAUAUAUCUUUAGAAUUUAAAAGGGCAUUGGUGAAUUUGCUUUUGCACAGGAAUGCUCUUGGUUGCAAGACAUAUAUAUAUAUAUAUAUAUAUAUAUAAGUUGGAAAAAGGAUCCUGAUGUGCCUGAUGCUAGGAAUGAGCCUGAUGGUGCUUGAGUGGUUAAAGAAUAAAAAUGAAUACAAAUUAACAGAGAACAAAAUUAGGCAAGAAAAAGAAUGUAGCCGCCGUAGGGAAAGAAAACAUGCUAUGGCUUCACAACGAUAACAUAUCAGAAGUCUCCGCAAAAGACUUCCAGCCAACGCUCAACACCAUGAAGCAUGAACAAGGCCAACAAAAUAAAACACAAUUCAAUUAAUGUCAUUUAAUUAUAUACCAAUUUUUUUUCUAUGAAAACGAACAUAAUUUGUGGGUAAAUUAUGAAGGUUUUAAUUUUAAUAUUGCUAAAUUUAAAUUUUAUUAAAAACUUUUAUUUUAGAAAGAGUUUAAAGUUAAUAAGGAAAUAAAUAAAAAGUAAUUAAUAUUUGAUUUAAUAAAAAAACCAAUUAAGGAAAAUUCACUUUAUAUUAAAAACUUAAACUUUUUUUGGUCCAAAACAAAAACAUCAACCUUAAUAAAAAAAAAUAAAAAUUUAUUAAUUAAAGCUAAAGUAAUUAAUUUAAUACAUUAUCAAGUGCAUAUAUGCAAUUAACUAUUUGCACUUUGGGCUUAUUACUUUUAUAUAUAGUAUUGAUAUUGAUUAUUAAUUCAUCAUUUUUUGGUAUUGUGAAUACGUAUAUAAAAUUGGAAUUAUGUUAGUAGAAUUUGAAUAGAUACAGACACGAAACUAAAAAUAAAGGUUCCAUAUAAUUUUUUUCCUUUUUAAUUUGGAGAAAUUAGAUAUUAAUAUGCUAAUUGAGUUAAAAAAAAAAGUCAUGUAUUCAAUCACUAAGGGAUCAUUUGGAUCCUACCGAAACAUCAAUGCUGUAUAAUUUAUGCACUUUUUUGAAUUUAAAGUGCCAUUUUAUCGUUUGAAUAUCAACAUUAGGGCACGGUUAGUGCUAGCUAACCAUCGGAGCUUUUAGCUUCAGUCAAAAUAAUUUAAUCUUACCAUUUUAUUUUUACUUUUACCUUUUAUUUUUUUCAUUUUUGUCAUAUAAUUGUAAGUUUCAUUUUUUUAAAUUUUGAUUUGUUAUUUAAAAAAUAUUGAAAUAAUUUUUGUUGAUAUAAAAUAAUAAAUAAUUUUAUUAUAUAAUAAAUUAAUAAAUAAAUUAUAUGUAUUAAUAUAUUAAUAAAUGUUAUAAAUAAUAUUAAAAUAUACAAAAAUAAUUUAUUAAUAAACUUUUAGAAUAAAGUCCUUAAUGAUAAUUUUUUAUUUUCAUUUCACCACAUCACCAUUUUUGUAUAUAAAUACAUAUCUCAUCAUCAUUUUUAAUCUUAUCACACAAUAAUUAAUCUCACAUUUAUUAUUAUUUUCAAUAUCACCAAAGUUAAUUUUAUCAUCUAUCCAAAUGAACUCUAAGUCAAAUGCAUGAAUCACUAAAUCAAACACAUUUAAUCUUACCAAGAUGCAUUAGUAGAAUAUUAAAUUUUUAAUUUUUAUAAUAAGAUUCAAUCCUUAAUUAUUUAAGUAAAAAAAAAAAAACAAAUACAUACGUCAAAUUUUAUCUAGAUUGAUUUUAAGAUUGGGCCAAAGCAAAUUUCCAAAUAAUUUAAGUUUCAUUAGAAUCCACCCGAUUUGAGCUUGCUUGAAAGUUUUAAUUAGUCAUUGUUCGAGACCCACUACCAUAGCCAUACAUCCAAAUAAAAAACACAAACCAAAAACAACCAUAUCCUCGGAGAGAGACUAGAGAAACAGAAAACAAAAACAAAGAAUAAAAUAAAAUAAAAGCAAAACAAAAAAUUGAAAAAAAAACACUUUAAUUUCAGUCUGAGUUAUUCUAGUGAGAUCCAGGUCGAUGUUUUGAAGAAGGGAACGUAGUUAGAGUUGCGGCCAUUUCGGAUGGCAGAGAAGGAGAUUUUGGAUGUUUGAAGAGAGGCAGAUUUUCGGCUUAGAGUCUAGAAAAAUUUAGAAGGUUUUUGGAGAAAUCUUUCUUCCUAUAAAAUGUUUAGCAGGUUGAAGGGAAAAUUUCAGUGUAUUUUGGAAGCAAACUGGCAUUCAGUUGAGCCAACGACAGCGGUAGUGCCUGCUGAAAGGUCAUUGGAUUCUAGUUUAGAGGUGGCUACCACAUUUUGGCUUAGAGAGAAGAAAAAGAUUUUGAGAACAGGGAAUGUAGAGAUAGAAAGGAAGGAAGAAAUAUGAAUGAAAAAAACUAGCUUUUAUAGGAUGAAAAAAAAAAAAAAAAGAGGCCCGUGCAUUGACUGGACCCGACUCGAGAUCAUGCACCCGUCCCUUCAACCGGUUUUCUACUUAGACCAAGGACCAGUUUGACUGAAUCGAUGAUCAACUACUAUAUCGUCUAAAAACGGGACUAAACCAAGAUGAAUGUUCCAAAUCUUUGUUUGAACCAAGAUAAACCGCUCCAAACCGGCUAACUGGACUGAAUGGUUAUGAAUCGUUGAUUAACGUUGAUCAGUUUUUUUUGGGUUUUUUUUUAUUAUUUUUAUUAAGUUAUUUAUCUAUGCAUAUUUAAAUUUUAAAAUAAUAUAUAUUAAAAAUAAUAAAAUAAGUGUUAAAUUAAAAAAAAACCUUUUUAGGUGAGAAAAUUCUUUUUAAAUUUUAUCAUAAUGGUGGAAAAUAAAAAAAAAAAGAAUUUCAAUAACUAUGGUUGAAAUUUAUUUUACAUAAUAUAAUAACAAUCCCAAAAUAAGAAUAAAGAAAUUAUAAUGAGGUGAUUAGCUUAAUUUUAUAAAUACACUUUGCUUUCGAAUAAAAUAUGGAAUAAAUGCAAUUCUUAAAAAUGUGAGUUUCUAAAGAAAUUAAGAAUAAAUUUUUUUUUAUAGAAAUUUUGAAACAAAAUAUAUUAUCUAAUUCUUUCCAAAAUGAUGAACAAUUUAGAUAAAACUUUAAUAUUAUGAAUUUACAUUUCUAAAAAAAUUAAGACCAAUUUAAGAUAAUGGAAAAUUAAUUGAUAACAUUUUUGAACGGAUGUUGAAUGUUGUGUACGUUAAUCUUUCUCCAUGCAUAGUUAUAUCCUUGAAUAUGGUUUUUUAGCAUAGAUAAAAUCUAUCUUUUUAAAGAAAUCAUAGUUGAACUUAGAAUUAAAAAGAAAAAAAAUUUGAUAAUCAAUCACAACUAAUAAAAAAGAUUAAUAACAGAUUUUUUUUCAUGUCUACCAUUGAGUCUUUUGAAUCAAUACAUUAUUACAAUAAUCUUCUCUUUUAUCACUGAUUAUUAUUUAUAUGUAUUAUAUAUCAUCACUGACAUCAUUACUAUUUGGAAAUUUUAAAAAUUAAAAAAGAAUGAAAAAUUCCCCGAGAUUAAAACGAGUAGCAAUUGUCAAUUAAAAAAAAAAAAGAUUUGGAGCAACUAUUGGUCGAGCUCUUAAAUUUCCAACUGUAUCAUGGAGCAUGAACCAUACUAUUCUUAUUUAAUAAGCAGUUAUUUAACCAUUAACAAUUUAGUCAAUCCUGUACAACAAUAAAUGGAGCACCAAAAUCCUAUAUAUUCCUCCUCCAUCAUAAUCACAACCCAAUCCGGUCAAGCUACCAUUGGCUUCAGCCAGAAAUCAAUUUCUUGGCAAACAUGGCCUGCAAGAUGUCUCAUGUCCUUUCUAUACUUCUGCUGAUAUCAUUAUUUUUAUUGAUCUUACCUCCAACUUCAGCCACAAACACACACUUGGGUACGUUACUUAUAGCUACAUAUGAAACAUUCUUCCUAAUUAGUUCUAUCUCUCUCUUUUGAGUUUGUCGGUAUUUUUUUUUUUUUUUUUGGCUUAUUGUAGGAAAGAAGGUGAAUGAAGAGAUUUGGAGAAAUCUAAUCGAUGUAAAACCAGGUUUAUGUUGUGCUCAUGCACCAAGUGGUGGCUUUUCACCCAGUACUAAUAUCAUGAAGGAAAAUUUUAUUAGCGCAUCCAAGACCGAGGGCCAUAACUAAUGGCUACAAACCUUGCUAUGCAUGUGCCACUACUCUCCAUGUAUGCCUUUCUGAUAGGGUCCGUACAAUUUAUCUUUUAUAUAUAUAGAUCGGAACAUAAAAUUGAGUUCUCUUUAUUUCUGUUGGAAAAUUUAACUAAAUUUAAUAUUAUGCUAUUAAUAAUUAGUUUUAAUAAUUAAUUUAUAUAUAAUUUGUUAGAAGUUAUCUUUUAG